AACGAACGCUGGCGGCAGGCCUAACACAUGCCAGUCGAGCGAGGACUUCGGUUCUAGCGGCGGACGGGUGAGUAACGCGUGGGAAUGUGCCCUUCUCUACGGAAUAGCCCUGGGAAACUGGGAGUAAUACCGUAUACGCCCUAUUGGGGAAAGAUUUAUCGGAGAAGGAUCAGCCCGCGUUGGAUUAGGUAGUUGGUGGGGUAAUGGCCUACCAAGCCGACGAUCCAUAGCUGGUUUGAGAGGAUGAUCAGCCACACUGGGACUGAGACACGGCCCAGACUCCUACGGGAGGCAGCAGUGGGGAAUCUUAGACAAUGGGGGCAACCCUGAUCUAGCCAUGCCGCGUGAGUGAUGAAGGCCUUAGGGUUGUAAAGCUCUUUCAGCUGGGAAGAUAAUGACGGUACCAGCAGAAGAAGCCCCGGCUAACUCUGUG
rnacentral:rRNA from 1 species